AGCAGCCGCGGUAAUUCCAGCUCCAAUAGCGUAUAUUAAAGUUGUUGCAGUUAAAAAGCUCGUAGUUGAAUUUCGGGAUCAAUCUAUCGGUCGUGCAAUAGUACGUACUGAUUUUAUUGAUUCCUCCCUUCUGAUGAACUAUGAUGUCAUUAAUUUGGUGUCAUAGGGAAUCAGGACUGUUACUUUGAAAAAAUUAGAGUGUUCAAAGCAGGCUUAUGUCUGAAUACAUUAGCAUGGAAUAAUAAAAUAGGACGGUGGUCCUGUUUUGUUGGUUUCUGAAUCACCGUAAUGAUUAAUAGGGAUAGUUGGGGGCAUAGUAUUCAAUUGUCAGAGGUGAAAUUCUUGGAUUUAU
rnacentral:rRNA from 1 species